rnacentral:tRNA from 1 species
AGCUAGAUGGUACAGUGGAUAGAACACUGGACUUGGAAUCCAGAAUAAUAUUCAUUAGUUCAAAUCUAGCCUCAGUUA